rnacentral:lncRNA from 1 species
AGGUUACUGUUUCGAUAAAAUUAAGAAAGUCAAAUUCAUGAUUGCUGCCCGAGCUGCGCUUGAAAUAGGUAUUAACAAUAUGGAUGUUUUCAUAUAUCGAAUUCAGAGGUGCAGAACACAAGAAUGGCAUCUUUCAGUUGAGAUUACCUUAUUCAUUCAUGGUCAUAUAUAUAAAUGUGCAAGCACCAAAACUGGUGAAAAGAACCAAGAAGUAACAAUAAUCCGAAAAAGACAUUAUUAUUCUGUCUUCUCCAUAUAUUUAUAUUUACCUCGAACCCAAAUUAUAUAUAGAUGUUGCAUCCUAAAAUCGACAAGCCAGACAUCACAUCAGUGUUAAGCCUAGCGCAGCAGCAGCAUCUUCUUAGUUCAGCUUCGUUAAUUCUUGCAAUAACCACAGAGCAUAUUUUAUGUUUUUCAGCGAACAACUGAUAUCUGACAUCUGAGCGUUUGUGGGUCUCCCUUAGAUUAGUGUCUGACUCAAUUUGACGAUGACUUUCUGGGCGUUCUAAUCUAAUUGGGUGUAUGUGUUCUUUCUGUCUAUGGAAAAAACUGAUAUCUGACAUGGUAAAACGAUUUCAGGAUUAGAAUUAGUGAUGUAGUAGCAGUUGUACUGAAGUAUAAACAAAUGGGGCAUGCAUGAUGCCUUCUGUUUUUGGGAAGUGAAAACCAGGGCCAAUAGCAGCCAGCAUAGGCCAUGAGAUCGAC